AGUGAACGCUGGCGGUAGGCCUAACACAUGCAAGUCGAACGGAAGCACAGUAAGAGCUUGCUCUUACGGGUGGCGAGUGGCGGACGGGUGCGGAAUACAUCGCAAUCUACUUUUUCGUGGGGGAUAACGUAGGGAAACUUACGCUAAUACUGCAUACGACCUACGGGUGAAAGCAGGGGAUCUUCGGACCUUGCGCGAUUGAAUGAGCCGAUGUCGGAUUAGCUAGUUGGCGGGGUAAAGGCCCACCAAGGCGACGAUCCGUAGCUGGUCUGAGAGGAUGAUCAGCCACACUGGAACUGAGACACGGUCCAGACUCCUACGGGAGGCAGCAGUGGGGAAUAUUGGACAAUGGGCGCAAGCCUGAUCCAGCCAUACCGCGUGGGUGAAGAAGGCCUUCGGGUUGUAAAGCCCUUUUGUUGGGAAAGAAAAGCAGCAAGUUAAUACCCCGCUGUUCUGACGGUACCCAAAGAAUAAGCACCGGCUAACUUCGUG
rnacentral:rRNA from 1 species